UACGUAGGGUGCGAGCGUUAAUCGGAAUUACUGGGCGUAAAGCGUGCGCAGGCGGUUCGUUAAGUUCGAUGUGAAAGCCCCGGGCUCAACCUGGGAACUGCAUUGGAAACUGGCGAGCUUGAGUGCGGCAGAGGGGGGUGGAAUUCCGCGUGUAGCAGUGAAAUGCGUAGAGAUGCGGAGGAACACCGAUGGCGAAGGCAGCCCCCUGGGCCGACACUGACGCUCAGGCACGAAAGCGUGGGGAGCAAACAGG
rnacentral:rRNA from 1 species